rnacentral:rRNA from 1 species
AUGCUGCGCAAGAACAACAUGUCCUCCCUUGUCUUCCUCAUGGCGCUGCUGCUCUCAUGCAGCUCCAUGAGCAGCGCAGCACGGCACCUAGAGGAGGCCGUGCCCAAAAAGGAGUAUCCACCACAUCCGAUCGUCCCGGAGCUGCCAAAGCCCGAACUCCCACCUCACCCUGCCAUGCCUGAGCUACCGAAGCCUGAACUACCGCGCCCUCUCGUUCCCGAAGUGCCACACCCCGUGGCGCCGGAGACACCAAAGGAGCCUGAACUGCCGCACCCCGUGGCGCCGGAGGUGCCAAAGCAUGAGCUGCCGCCGCACCCUGCUAUGCCCGAGCUCCCGAAACCUGAACUACCGCAUCCGGCUGUGCCACAGACGCCAAAGGAGCCUGAAGUGCCACACCCCACGGUGCCCGAGGUGCCAAAGCACGAGCUGCCGUCGCACCCUGCUAUGCCCGAGCUCCCGAAGCCCGAACUACCACAUCCGGCUGUGCCUGAGGUGACAAAGGAGCCGGAAGUGCCGCACCCCGUCGUACCGGAGGUGCCAAAGGAGCACGAGCUGCCGCACCCUACCAUGCCAGAGUUGCCAAAGCCUGAAAUGCCACACCAUGCCGUGCCAGAGAUACCAAAGGAGCUCCAUGUGCCGCACCCUGAGGUACCGGAAGUGCCAAAGGAGCCUGAGUUACCGCACCCUGCCGUGCAGGAGGUCCCGAAGCACGAAAUGCCACCGUUCCCGAAAGCCGAGCUGCCCCAGAAGCCCGAGUUCCAUUUUCCGGAGCCAGAGGCCAAGCCAUGA